rnacentral:lncRNA from 1 species
AUCCCACAAUAAAGCCCCUCUCCUGUUGCUCUCCUGCCAGUGUGAUUAGCAAUGGAGGUCUUUGACCCAGGCAGUCACCACUCUCAAGGAACAAGUCUCCAUGAAGAAGCAGCCUGAGCUUUUAGGCAUCUGCCUUUGCUCAAGACAUCCUCUGUCUACCCUGGCAGUUACCCUGGAUGGUUUUGCUGUCGUGAUUAAAACACAGAUGGAGCUCAUCCCUUCCCCGGGUGUUUGAUUGGCAGACUCUCUGUGAUCAGCACUCUUCUCUGUUGAACACAUCAGCGCCAUCUGCCUUCUGUCUGCCUGGAGAGACUUGCCACAGUAGAGCUUCCUCAGCCUCACAUGAACCGGUGCAAAGGAUGUGCGUUCCUUUUGCUGAAGCCAUCAAAUAAAAAGGCUUUUUCAUGAAAAGCUAAAUAGAAUACGUGAAGAUUUUCACGACAGUAGGCUUCCAGAUUAAUGAAAUAUUCAUUUAAAUUGGACUUGAAGGAUAUGUCAUUUCUUUUCUUUGAUUAAAAUAUUUAGAGCAUAACACAAAAUCACUGUGUCUUGAAAAAGCCAAACUUCAAGGAAAUUCAGCUGAUGGGGCAUCUUGUUUUCAGUGAGGUUGUUAAAGAUGAUUUUUCAAACCAGGGUCAGGUGCUUGGAACCAUUAGGUGAAUGCUAGGCAUGGUGGCAGUCCUCUUGUGUGCUUAAGAGUUUAAGAGAUUGAACCCAAUAGAUAGUAAGCUUCUUUCAAAGAGAAUGCUAAUUUUAAUGUUUUUAUGAUUUAAAUAGAUUGUAAUAAAUUAUUAUUUCCUAAUUUAGAUGUUGGUAUGACGACUGGGCAGACGCAUGUUCUUGUUCCACAUCAACAUUGUAUGAAUGCAGAGUGUAGCCUGAGUGCUUUAGAAAAGGAUACUUUUAAGAUAUUGGAAGACAUAGUGACAUUAGGAGGAGGAAGGGGAUUAUUGGGCUGUUCUAAAAUUAGCAAUGUGAAGAGCUGGUUCAAACUUAAUUGCCUAGGUGUGUUAGAAAAAUACUUGUAUUGUGCUUAAUAAUGUGAAUUAUCUGUAUCAUUAAAUAACAGGAAACCCGUUUGAGUUUCUUCUUCCCGUCCAAAUAAAUAAAUAAAUAAAUAAAUAAAUAAAUGUAAUUAAC